rnacentral:misc_RNA from 1 species
UGGCUCUCGCAUCGAUGAAGAACGCAGCGAAAUGCGAUAAGUAAUGUGAAUUGCAGAAUUCAGUGAAUCAUCGAAUCUUUGAACGCACCUUGCGCUCCUUGGUAUUCCGAGGAGCAUGCCUGUUUGAGUGUCAUGUUAAUAUCAACCCCGUCGGUUUGUUAAUCAAACCGUUGGGUGUUGGACUUGGAGGUUCUUGCUGGCUGCAAAGUCGGCUCCUCUUGAAUGUAUUAGCUUGGGCCUGUUGUACGUGCUCGCGGUGUAAUAAGUUUUAUUCAUCGUUUGGGUCGUACACUUAUUGGGCUUGCUUCUAACUGUCUUCGGACAAACAUAACCUUUGACUCUGACCUCAAAUCAGGUAGGACUACCCGCUGA